GAGUUUGAUCAUGGCUCAGGACGAACGCUGGCGGCGUGCUUAACACAUGCAAGUCGAACGAUGAAGCGGUGCUUGCACCGUGGAUUAGUGGCGAACGGGUGAGUAAUACGUGAGUGACCUACCUUUGACUCUGGGAUAAGCCUGGGAAACUGGGUCUAAUACCGGAUACGACCAAUCUCUGCAUGGGGUGUUGGUGGAAAGCGUUAUGGAGUGGUUUUAGAUGGGCUCACGGCCUAUCAGCUUGUUGGUGAGGUAAUGGCUUACCAAGGCGACGACGGGUAGCCGGCCUGAGAGGGUGACCGGCCACACUGGGACUGAGACACGGCCCAGACUCCUACGGGAGGCAGCAGUGGGGAAUAUUGCACAAUGGGCGCAAGCCUGAUGCAGCGACGCCGCGUGAGGGAUGACGGCCUUCGGGUUGUAAACCUCUGUUAGCAUCGAAGAAGCGAAAGUGACGGUAGGUGCAGAGAAAGCGCCGGCUAACUACGUGCCAGCAGCCGCGGUAAUACGUAGGGCGCGAGCGUUGUCCGGAAUUAUUGGGCGUAAAGAGCUUGUAGGCGGUUGGUCGCGUCUGCUGUGAAAGGCCGGGGCUUAACUCCGGUUUUGCAGUGGGUACGGGCUAACUAGAGUGCAGUAGGGGAGACUGGAAUUCCUGGUGUAGCGGUGGAAUGCACAGAUAUCAGGAGGAACACCGAUGGCGAAGGCAGGUCUGCUGGGCUGUAACUGACGCUGAGAAGCGAAAGCAUGGGGAGCGAACAGGAUUAGAUACCCUGGUAGUCCAUGCCGUAAACGUUGGGCACUAGGUGUGGGGGACAUUCCACGUUUUCCGCGCCGUAGCUAACGCAUUAAGUGCCCCGCAUGGGGAGUACGGCCGCAAGGCUAAAACUCAAAGGAAUUGACGGGGGCCCGCACAAGCGGCGGAGCAUGCGGAUUAAUUCGAUGCAACGCGAAGAACCUUACCAAGGCUUGACAUGCAUUAGAUCGCGUCAGAGAUGGCGUUUCCCUUCGGGGCUGGUGUACAGGUGGUGCAUGGUUGUCGUCAGCUCGUGUCGUGAGAUGUUGGGUUAAGUCCCGCAACGAGCGCAACCCUCGUUGUAUGUUGCCAGCGGUUCGGCCGGGGACUCAUAGGAGACCGCCGGGGUCAACUCGGAGGAAGGUGGGGAUGACGUCAAAUCAUCAUGCCCCUUAUGUCUUGGGCUUCACGCAUGCUACAAUGGCCGGUACAGAGGGUUGCGAUACUGUGAGGUGGAGCUAAUCCCUUAAAGCCGGUCUCAGUUCGGAUUGGGGUCUGCAACUCGACCCCAUGAAGUCGGAGUCGCUAGUAAUCGCAGAUCAGCAACGCUGCGGUGAAUACGUUCCCGGGCUUCGCACACACCGCCCGUC
rnacentral:rRNA from 1 species